GACGAACGCUGGCGGCGUGCUUAACACAUGCAAGUCGAACGGAAAGGCCCUGCUUUUGUGGGGUGCUCGAGUGGCGAACGGGUGAGUAACACGUGAGUAACCUGCCCUUGACUUUGGGAUAACUUCAGGAAACUGGGGCUAAUACCGGAUAGGAGCUCCUUCUGCAUGGUGGGGGUUGGAAAGUUUCGGCGGUUGGGGAUGGACUCGCAGCUUAUCAGCUUGUUGGUGGGGUAGUGGCUUACCAAGGCUUUGACGGGUAGCCGGCCUGAGAGGGUGACCGGACACAUUGGGACUGAGAUACGGCCCAGACUCCUACGGGAGGCAGAAGUGGGGAAUAUUGCACAAUGGGCGGAAGCCUGAUGCAGCAACGCCGCGUGCGGGAUGACGGCCUUCGGGUUGUAAACCGCUUUCGCCUGUGACGAAGCGUGAGUGACGGUAAUGGGGAAAGAAGCACCGGCUAACUACGUG
rnacentral:rRNA from 1 species